rnacentral:rRNA from 1 species
AGGUUAAGCUUUAGAAGGCGGAGCCGCAGCGAAAGCGAGUCUGAAUAGGGCGAAAUAGUACGUGGUCGUAGACCCGAAACCAGGUGAUCUACCCAUGUCCAGGGUGAAGGUGAGGUAACACUUACUGGAGGCCCGAACCCACGCACGUUGAAAAGUGCGGGGAUGAGGUGUGGGUAGCGGAGAAAUUCCAAUCGAACUUGGAGAUAGCUGGUUCUCUCCGAAAUAGCUUUAGGGCUAGCCUCGUGAUGAGAAUACUGGAGGUAGAGCACUGUUUGGACUAGGGGGCCAUCCCGGUUUACCGAAUUCAGACAAACUCCGAAUGCCAGAUAUUUAUACACGGGAGUCAGACUGCGAGUGAUAAGAUCCGUAGUCAAAAGGGAAACAGCCCAGACCACCAGCUAAGGUCCCAAAGUAAUCGUUAAGUGGAAAAGGAUGUGGCGUUGCACAGACAACCAGGAUGUUGGCUUAGAAGCAGCCAUCAUUUAAAGAGUGCGUAAUAGCUCACUGGUCGAGUGACGCUGCGCCGAAAAUGUAUCGGGGCUAAACGAUUCACCGAAGCUGUGGAUUGACAUCUACGAUGUCAGUGGUAGGAGAGCGUUCUAAGUGCGUUGAAGUCAGAUCGGAAGGACUGGUGGAGCGCUUAGAAGUGAGAAUGCCGGUAUGAGUAGCGAAAGACGGGUGAGAAUCCCGUCCACCGUAUGACUAAGGUUUCCUGAGGAAGGCUCGUCCGCUCAGGGUUAGUCGGGACCUAAGCCGAGGCCGAUAGGCGUAGGCGAUGGACAACAGGUUGAUAUUCCUGUACCACCUCCUCACCGUUUGAGAAAUGGGGGGACGCAGUAGGAUAGGGUAAGCGCGCCGUUGGUUGUGCGCGUCCAAGCAGUAAGGCGUGUGUGUAGGCAAAUCCGCACACUGUAACGUUGAGCUGUGAUGGCGAGUCCGUAUGGACGAAGUUCCUGAUUUCACACUGCCAAGAAAAGCCUCUAUCGAGGUGAGAGGUGCCCGUACCGCAAACCGACACAGGUAGUCGAGGAGAGAAUCCUAAGGUGUGCGAGAGAACUCUCGUUAAGGAACUCGGCAAAAUGACCCCGUAACUUCGGGAGAAGGGGUGCUCUUGAGCGUGCAAGCGCAUGAGAGCCGCAGUGAAUAGGCCCAGGCGACUGUUUAGCAAAAACACAGGUCUCUGCAAAACCGUAAGGUGACGUAUAGGGGCUGACGCCUGCCCGGUGCUGGAAGGUUAAGAGGAGUGGUUAGCGCAAGCGAAGCUGCGAAUUGAAGCCCCAGUAAACGGCGGCCGUAACUAUAACGGUCCUAAGGUAGCGAAAUUCCUUGUCGGGUAAGUUCCGACCCGCACGAAAGGCGUAACGAUCUGGGCACUGUCUCAACGAGAGACUCGGUGAAAUUAUAGUACCUGUGAAGAUGCAGGUUACCCGCGACAGGACGGAAAGACCCCGUGGAGCUUUACUGUAGCCUGAUAUUGAAUUUUGGUACAACUUGUACAGGAUAGGUAGGAGCCAGAGAUCUCGGAGCGCCAGCUUCGAAGGAGGCGUCGGUGGGAUACUACCCUGGUUGUAUUGAAAUUCUAACCCAUGCCCCUUAGCGGGGCAGGAGACAGUGUCAGGCGGACAGUUUGACUGGGGCGGUCGCCUCCUAAAAGGUAACGGAGGCGCCCAAAGGUUCCCUCAGAAUGGUUGGAAAUCAUUCGUAGAGUGUAAAGGCACAAGGGAGCUUGACUGCGAGACCUACAAGUCGAGCAGGGUCGAAAGACGGGCUUAGUGAUCCGGUGGUUCCGCAUGGAAGGGCCAUCGCUCAACGGAUAAAAGCUACCCCGGGGAUAACAGGCUUAUCUCCCCCAAGAGUCCACAUCGACGGGGAGGUUUGGCACCUCGAUGUCGGCUCAUCGCAUCCUGGGGCUGUAGUCGGUCCCAAGGGUUGGGCUGUUCGCCCAUUAAAGCGGUACGCGAGCUGGGUUCAGAACGUCGUGAGACAGUUCGGUCCCUAUCCGUCGUGGGCGUAGGAAAUUUGAGAGGAGCUGUCCUUAGUACGAGAGGACCGGGAUGGACACACCGCUGGUGUACCAGUUGUCUUGCCAAAGGCAUCGCUGGGUAGCUAUGUGUGGACGGGAUAAGUGCUGAAAGCAUCUAAGCAUGAAGCCCCCCUCAAGAUGAGAUUUCCCAUUACGCAAGUAAGUAAGAUCCCUCAAAGACGAUGAGGUAGAUAGGUUCGAGGUGGAAGUGUGGUGACACAUGGAGCUGACGAAUACUAAUCGAUCGAGGACUUAACCAA